rnacentral:rRNA from 1 species
UACAGAGGUCUCAAGCGUUGUUCGGAUUUAUUGGGCGUAAAGGGCGCGUAGGCGGCGGGGUAAGUCGGGUGUGAAAUCUCAGGGCUCAACCCUGAAACUGCACUUGAUACUGCUCUGCUUGAGGACUGGAGAGGAGACUGGAAUUCACGGUGUAGCAGUGAAAUGCGUAGAGAUCGUGAGGAAGACCAGUGGCGAAGGCGGGUCUCUGGGCCGAGAUUGACGCGUGAGAGCGAAAAGCGUGGGGAGCCGAACAGG